rnacentral:lncRNA from 1 species
CUCGGUCACCAGUCUGGAGUGUAGUGGCGUGAUCUCGGCUCACUGCAACCUCCAUCUCCCAGGUUCAAGCAAUUCUCCUGCCUCAGCCUCCUGAGUAGCUGGGACUACAGGUGCAUGCUGCCACCAUGCCCAGCUCAUUUUUGUAUUUUUAGUAGAGAUGGGGUUUCACCAUUUUGGCCAGGAUGGUCUUGAUCUCCUGACCUUGUGAUCCACAUGCCUCGGCCUCCCAAAGUGCUGGGAUUACAGGUGUGAGCCACCGCGCCCGGACGUAAAGAAAGUUUUAUUGAGACACAGCCAUGCCCAUGAAUGCUUUCAUGCUUCAACAGCAGAAUUAAGUAGUUGCCACAAAGACCUGGCCUGCACAGCCUAAAAUAUGUCUUGGCCAAGAAGUCUGAAUCAACCAUGGUCUCCUCCAAAGACGAGGAGUCAGCUGAAAUGUACCAUCUUCAUGGAAGCCUGCUCUGAUCAUUCCAGAUGAGGGGCAUUUGCUGGGAGCACUGUGGAAGCACAGCCUUCUUUCUACGGGGGUUGCUGAGAAAAGCUGCUGGCUGUCGGUGGGGGAAACCUGUCUGAGUAAAUCCCACACAGAAGAAAGCUGAGCCGAGAGAUGGAGAGACACGACGCCUGCAGACAUUGCUUAGAUCCAGCUGGGCGCAAAGCCAGGCCAGCUCAGACUUUUCAAUUACACGAACGAACCGCCUUUUUGUUUUACACUUAUGUCAAUUUGAAUUGGAUUUCCAUCUUGUAACCAAAAGUCUGACUAAUAUAAUCAAAUACCAACUUAAGUAUUGGUAUCUACGAGUUAUAGGUGUUUUCAUUUCCUUGGCCAAGAAACUUUGAGCUCUGAAAUAUCACGGAACGGGGGGUUAGGCCAGGGCACUUAGGGCAAAGUUUUAGCUGGACUAUAGAGAAGGAUGAAGUGGCCUCUCUCACUUCUUUCUUCAUCUCUUUGGUUUAGCUUAGCCACACUGAGUCCACUCCUAAUAGUGGAGGAAGAGGCAAAGGAAGCCUCUUAUGCUAUUGAAUGGGGCCUGGUUGGAACUUGCCCCUGAAUCUGUAGAUGGACCAAAUGCCUACAACAGGGUUUUCAUAUCUAGUCCAUGAGGGCAAAGUGAAUUUCAUACGAGUGGCACAUGGGGCAGUUGUAGCUC